AUUGAACGCUGGCGGCAUGCUUUACACAUGCAAGUCGAACGGUAACAGGCCGCAAGGUGCUGACGAGUGGCGAACGGGUGAGUAAUGCAUCGGAACGUGCCCAGUCGUGGGGGAUAACGCAGCGAAAGCUGCGCUAAUACCGCAUACGAUCUGUGGAUGAAAGCGGGGGACCGUAAGGCCUCGCGCGAUUGGAGCGGCCGAUGUCAGAUUAGGUAGUUGGUGGGGUAAAGGCUCACCAAGCCAACGAUCUGUAGCUGGUCUGAGAGGACGACCAGCCACACUGGGACUGAGACACGGCCCAGACGCCUACGGGAGGCAGCAGUGGGGAAUUUUGGACAAUGGGCGCAAGCCUGAUCCAGCAAUGCCGCGUGCAGGAAGAAGGCCUUCUGGUUGUAAACUGCUUUUGUACGGAACGAAAAGGCUCUGGUUAAUACCUGGGGCUCAUGACGGUACCGUAAGAAUAAGCACCGGCUAACUACGUGCCAGCCGCCGCCGCGGUAA
rnacentral:rRNA from 1 species